rnacentral:rRNA from 1 species
UAGGGCCUACGGGACGCAGCAGUAGGGAAUUUUCGUCAAUGGGCGCAAGCCUGAACGAGCAAUGCCGCGUGAACGAGGAAGGUCUUCGGAUCGUAAAGUUCUGUUGAAGGGGAAAAAGAGCGGAGAGAGGAAAUGAACUCCGAUUGAUAUUACCCUUCGAGGAAGUCACGGCUAACUACGUGCCAGUAGCCGCGGUAAUACGUAGGUGGCGAGCGUUAUCCGGGAUGAUUGGGCGUAAAGGGUGCGUAGGCGGCCUGCUAAGUCUGGAGUGAAAGGUACCGGCUCAACCGGUACAGGCUCUGGAA